ACUGCGUUGAGCCCGUCACUUUGUUGAGUUUCGCGGUGUCGCUGUGCUUGGAAAGACAAUUUCCUUUUCAGCAGCACUGGUAUGGACUUUGGAUGAUCUUGCCUGCUUCUUCAUUUCUCUCUUUCUCAUGAAAGCCUUUCUCUUCUCGGUAAGUAAUUGUUCCUAUUCUGUGUCCUCAGUGAGCAUGGGGAAGAGUGGCCAGUUUGUGGCACAUUUUUUCUGCGAUGCAGCCCAGAGGCCUUGAUGUCCUAUGGCACUGCGCUUUGGCAAAGGCAUGUUUUUACAAUCAGCUCGUCCAUGCUCUUGUCUGGGAGUGGGUAUGGGCACACAAACACACGGAGCUCCAUGACUUCACCCCUAGCCACUGUCAUAGGGAACCACAAUUUGUUAAAUGCAUGGGGAAACACAGUAUUAAAAAAAAAAAUCACCACGCUGGGCGUGGUGAUGCACGCCUGUAAUCCCAGCACUUUGGGAGGCUGAGGCAGGUAGAUCACCUGAGGUCAGGAGUUCGAGACCAGUUGGCCAACAUGGUGAAACCCCAUGUCUACUAAAAAUACAAAAAUUAGGGCGCAGUGGUGCAUGCCUGUAGUCCAGCUACUUGAGAGGCUGAGACAGGAGAAUCGCUUGAACCUGGGAGGUGGAGGCUGAAGUGAGCCGAGAUCACACUACUGCACUCCAGCCUGGGCGACAGAGCGAGACUCUGUCUCGGUUAAAAAAAAAAUCUUUCUCUGUAAAAAUUAUCCUGAUCUAAAAUAUGAUACACGUGUGUGUGUGUGUGUGUGUGUGUGUGUGUGUGUGACUUAGGCUGUCAGAAAUCUUGAAAGGUCAUACAAAAAGGCAUACGGAAAGAAGCCCAGCGAGAAGAGUUUUCCUGCUGAUGAAGACAGAAAAGGCACUGCAGCAGAUCCUGCUGGGACAGGUAGCAACUGUUCGUGUGAUUGCUAACAAAUUGAAUUUGUGGCGUCUUUGGUGUUUCUGUAUUUGAUGUCCUCGGUUCAUUGGACAACAGAGCCAUUGUUGGUGGCAGGAAAUAUCACUGUACAUUUAUACUGAAAGUCUGUAGUUCUGGCAAAAUUAAAACUUUGAGAACAUAAA
rnacentral:lncRNA from 1 species